rnacentral:rRNA from 1 species
AGGGUUCGAUUCUGGCUCAGGAUGAACGCUGGCGGCGUGCUUAACACAUGCAAGUCGAACGGACGAUGAAGAGCUUGCUUUUCAGAGUUAGUGGCGGACGGGUGAGUAACGCGUGGGUAACCUGCCUCAUACAGGGGGAUAGCAGCUGGAAACGGCUGAUAAAACCGCAUAAGCGCACAGCAUCGCAUGAUGCAGUGUGAAAAACUCCGGUGGUAUGAGAUGGACCCGCGUCUGAUUAGCUAGUUGGUGAGGUAACGGCCCACCAAGGCGACGAUCAGUAGCCGGCCUGAGAGGGUGACCGGCCACAUUGGGACUGAGACACGGCCCAA